GAUGAACGCUGGCGGCGUGCUUAACACAUGCAAGUCGAACGGAAAGGCUCCUGCUUGCAGGGGUACUCGAGUGGCGAACGGGUGAGUAACACGUGGGUGAUCUGCCCUGCACUUCGGGAUAAGCCUGGGAAACUGGGUCUAAUACCGGAUAGGACCACACUUUGGAUGGUGUGGUGGAAAGUUUUUCGGUGUGGGAUGAGCUCGCGGCCUAUCAGCUUGUUGGUGGGGUAAUGGCCUACCAAGGCGUCGACGGGUAGCCGGCCUGAGAGGGUGUACGGCCACAUUGGGACUGAGAUACGGCCCAGACUCCUACGGGAGGCAGCAGUGGGGAAUAUUGCACAAUGGGCGCAAGCCUGAUGCAGCGACGCCGCGUGGGGGAUGACGGCCUUCGGGUUGUAAACUCCUUUCGCUAGGGACGAAGCGUUUUUGUGACGGUACCUGGAGAAGAAGCACCGGCUAACUACGUG
rnacentral:rRNA from 1 species